GGCAUAUUAGUUUAGUGGUCAGAAUGGAUGGCUGUUAACCAUCAGACGGGAGUUCGAUUCUCUCAUACGCCG
rfam:Hepatospora eriocheir strain GB1 NODE_2884, whole genome shotgun sequence.